GCUUACGGCCAUACCGCCCUGAGCAUGCCUGAUCUUGUCUGAUCUCGGAGGCUAAGCAGGGUUGGGCCUGGUUAGUACUUGGAUGGGAGACCGCCUGGGAAUACCAGGUGCUGUAAGCU
rnacentral:rRNA from 1 species